rnacentral:rRNA from 1 species
GAUGAACGCUGGCGGCGUGCCUAAUACAUGCAAGUCGAGCGAACAGACGAGGAGCUUGCUCCUCUGACGUUUGCGGCGGACGGGUGAGUAACACGUGCAUAACCUACUUAUUAGACUGGGAUAACUUCGGGAAACCGGAGCUACUACCGCAUAAUAUAUUGUACGGCAUGGUUCAAUAGUGCAUCACGGUUUUGCUGUCUCUAUGGUACGAUUCGCGCCGCAUUAGCUAGGUGGUUAGGUAACGGCCUAGCAAGGCAACGAUGCGUAGCCGACCUGAGAGGGUGAUCGGCCACACUGGAACUGAGACACGGUCCAGACUCCUACGGGAGGCAGCAGUAGGGAAUCUUCCGCAAUGGGCGAAAGCCUGACGGAGCAACACCGCGUGAGUGAUGAAGGUCUUCGGAUCGUAAAGCGCUGUUGUUAGGAAAGAACAAAAGUUUAUGUAACCAUGCACGUCUUGACGGUACCUAAUGAAAAAGCCACGGCUAACUACGUG